rnacentral:rRNA from 1 species
GAUGAACGCUAGCGGCAGGCUUAACACAUGCAAGUCGAGGGGUAUUGGUUUUCGGACCAAGAGACCGGCGCACGGGUGCGUAACGCGUAUGCAAUCUACCUUUUGCAGAGGGAUAGCCCAGAGAAAUUUGGAUUAAUACCUCAUAGUAUAGUACUUUGGCAUCAAGGAACUAUUAAAGUCACAACGGCAAAAGAUGAGCAUGCGUCCCAUUAGCUAGUUGGUAAGGUAACGGCUUACCAAGGCUACGAUGGGUAGGGGUCCUGAGAGGGAGAUCCCCCACACUGGUACUGAGACACGGACCAGACUCCUACGGGAGGCAGCAGUGAGGAAUAUUGGACAAUGGGCGCAAGCCUGAUCCAGCCAUGCCGCGUGCAGGAUGACGGUCCUAUGGAUUGUAAACUGCUUUUGUACAGGAAGAAACACUCCCUCGUGAGGGAGCUUGACGGUACUGUAAGAAUAAGGAUCGGCUAACUCCGUGCCAGCAGCCGCGGUAAAG